CCUACGGGGGGCUGCAGUGAGGAAUAUUGGUCAAUGGACGAGAGUCUGAACCAGCCAAGUAGCGUGAAGGAUGACUGCCCUAUGGGUUGUAAACUUCUUUUAUAAAGGAAUAAAACGAGGCACGUGUGCCUUUUUGCAUGUACUUUAUGAAUAAGGAUCGGCUAACUCCGUGCCAGCAGCCGCGGUAAUACGGAGGAUCCGAGCGUUAUCCGGAUUUAUUGGGUGUAAAGGGAGCGUAGAUGGGUUGUUAAGUCAGUUGUGAAAGUUUGCGGCUCAACCGUAAAAUUGCAAUUGAUACUGGCAGUCUUGAGUACAGUUGAGGUAAGCGGAAUUCGUGGUGUAGCGGUGAAAUGCUUAGAUAUCACGAAGAACCCCGAUUGCGAAGGCAGCUUACUAAACUGUGACUGACAUUGAUGCUCGAAAGUGUGGGUAGCAAACAGGAUUAGAUACCCGAGUAGUC
rnacentral:rRNA from 1 species